rnacentral:rRNA from 1 species
GACGAACGCUGGCGGCGUGCCUAAUACAUGCAAGUCGAGCGGACCAAUAGAAGCUUGCUUCUGUUGGUUAGCGGCGGACGGGUGAGUAACACGUGGGCAACCUGCCUGUAAGACUGGGAUAACUUCGGGAAACCGGAGCUAAUACCGGAUAAUACAUCCCCUCGCAUGAGGGAGUGUUGAAAGUCGGUUCACGCUGACACUUACAGAUGGGCCCGCGGCGCAUUAGCUAGUUGGUGAGGUAAUGGCUCACCAAGGCGACGAUGCGUAGCCGACCUGAGAGGGUGAUCGGCCACACUGGGACUGAGACACGGCCCAGACUCCUACGGGAGGCAGCAUUAGGGAAUCUUCCACAAUGGACGAAAGUCUGAUGGAGCAACGCCGCGUGAGCGAUGAAGGCCUUCGGGUCGUAAAGCUCUGUUGUUAGGGAAGAACAAGUAUCGGAGUAACUGCCGGUACCUUGACGGUACCUAACCAGAAAGCCACGGCUAACUACGUGCCAGCCGCCGCCGUAAUAC